rnacentral:rRNA from 1 species
UUKUUGCAUAUCAAUAAGCGGAGGAAAAGAAACCAACAGGGAUUGCCUCAGUAACGGCGAGUGAAGCGGCAAAAGCUCAAAUUUGAAAUCUAGCACCUUCGGUGUUCGAGUUGUAAUUUGAAGAUGGUAACCUUGGGUUUGGCUCUUGUCUAUGUUCCUUGGAACAGGACGUCAUAGAGGGUGAGAAUCCCGUCUGAUGAGAUGCCCAUUCCUAUGUAAGGUGCUAUCGAAGAGUCGAGUUGUUUGGGAAUGCAGCUCUAAGUGGGUGGUAAAUUCCAUCUAAAGCUAAAUAUUGGCGAGAGACCGAUAGCGAACAAGUACAGUGAUGGAAAGAUGAAAAGAACUUUGAAAAGAGAGUGAAAAAGUACGUGAAAUUGUUGAAAGGGAAGGGCAUUAGAUCAGACUUGGUGUUUUACGAUUAUCUUCUCUUCUUGAGUUGUGCACUCGUAUUUCACUGGGCCAGCAUCGAUUCGGAUGGCAAGAUAAUGGCAGUUGAAUGUGGCUUCACUUCGGUGGAGUGUUAUAGCUUCUGCUGAUAUUGCCUGUCUGGAUCGAGGGCUGCGUCUUUGACUAGGAUGCUGCGUAAAAGAGAGUG